rnacentral:rRNA from 1 species
GACGAACGCUGGCGGCGUGCCUAAUACAUGCAAGUCGUGCGGACCUUGUUGAAAGCUUGCUUUUAAAAGGUUAGCGGCGGACGGGUGAGUAACACGUGGGCAACCUGCUUGUAAGACUGGGAUAACGCCGGGAAACCGCGGCUAAUACCAGAUCGUUUUUUCCUCCGCAUGGAGGAUAGAGGAAAGCCGGCUUCGGGUGCCACCUACAGAUGGGCCCGCGGCGGAUUAGCUAGUUGGCGGGGUAAUGGCCCACCAAGGCAACGGAGCGUAGGCGACCUGAGAGGGUGAUCGGCCACAUUGGGACUGGGACACGGCCCAAACGCCUACAGGAGGCAGCAGUAGGGAAACUUGCGGAAUGGGCGGAAGUCUGACGGAGCAACGCCGCGGGAGGGAAGAAGGCCUUCGGGUCGGAAAACUCUGUUGCCGGGGAAGAACAAGUGCCGUUCGAAGAGGGCGGCGGCUUGACGGUACCCGGCCAGAAAGCCACGGCUAACUACGUG